rnacentral:rRNA from 1 species
AGUGAACGCUGGCGGUAGGCCUAACACAUGCAAGUCGAACGGCAGCACAGUAAGAGCUUGCUCUUACGGGUGGCGAGUGGCGGACGGGUGAGGAAUACAUCGGAAUCUACUUUUUCGUGGGGGAUAACGUAGGGAAACUUACGCUAAUACCGCAUACGACCUACGGGUGAAGGCAGGGGAUCUUCGGACCUUGCGCGAUUGAAUGAGCCGAUGUCGGAUUAGCUAGUUGGCGGGGUAAAGGCCCACCAAGGCGACGAUCCGUAGCUGGUCUGAGAGGAUGAUCAGCCACACUGGAACUGAGACACGGUCCAGACUCCUACGGGAGGCAGCAGUGGGGAAUAUUGGACAAUGGGCGCAAGCCUGAUCCAGCCAUACCGCGUGGGUGAAGAAGGCCUUCGGGUUGUAAAGCCCUUUUGUUGGGAAAGAAAAGCAGCAGGUUAAUACCCCGCUGUUCUGACGGUACCCAAAGGAUAAGCACCGGCUAACUUCGUG